rnacentral:tRNA from 1 species
GGAGGGGUGGCCGAGCGGCUGAAGGCGACGGUUUGCUAAACCGUUUAGGGGUGUAAAGCCCCUACGUGGGUUCGAAUCCCAUCCCCUCCG